CUGAGGCAAGGGAAGAUGCUGCUCCUGCCGUAGAUGGUUGCUUACUUCAGGACCUAAAUAGUAGGCUGCAUAAAAGCUAUGGACACAUCCAUAGACAUAGUCCUAAUUCAGGCUCCUCUAUUUCUGUCCACACUUUAAAAUGUCAGUGUCUCCCUGGAUUCUGUUCUUGGCUCUCAUUUCUCAUCGAUCCUGG